rnacentral:rRNA from 1 species
GCUACACAUGCAGUCGAGCGGUACAGGAGAAGCUUGCUUCUCGCUGACGAGCGGCGGACGGGUGAGUAAUACUUAGGAAUCUACCUAGUAGUGGGGGAUAGCACGGGGAAACUCGUAUUAAUACCGCAUACGACCUACGGGAGAAAGGGGGCAGUUUACUGCUCUCGCUAUUAGAUGAGCCUAAGUCGGAUUAGCUAGAUGGUGGGGUAAAGGCCUACCAUGGCGACGAUCUGUAGCUGGUCUGAGAGGAUGAUCAGCCACACCGGGACUGAGACACGGCCCGGACUCCUACGGGAGGCAGCAGUGGGGAAUAUUGGACAAUGGGGGAAACCCUGAUCCAGCCAUGCCGCGUGUGUGAAGAAGGCCUUUUGGUUGUAAAGCACUUUAAGCAGUGAAGAAGACUCCAUGGUUAAUACCCAUGGACGAUGACAUUAGCUGCAGAAUAAGCACCGGCUAACUCUGUGCCAGCAGCCGCGGUAAUACAGAGGGUGCAAGCGUUAAUCGGAAUUACUGGCGUAAAGGAGCGUAGGUGGCUCU